GUUUUAAGAAAAAAAAUUAAUAAUUAUUUAUUUUCAAGAGUUAAUGCAUACUUUUUUUCUAUUUCGGUUUAAAAAAAUAAAUAAUUUAUAUUUAAUCUGAAAAUUAAAAAUAAUAUUAUAUAAAGGAAUUAGCAAAAUCUCACUACCAAAAUUUUUCUUUUCUCAAGGAAAUGACACGCAAACUUUUUUGAAAAGUUUGUCACGAGUCACCUUUCAUAAAUACUCACAU
rnacentral:misc_RNA from 1 species